rnacentral:rRNA from 1 species
GUUGAACGCUGGCGGCAUGCCUAAUACAUGCAAGUCGAGCGAGCGGCGGGCAGGGGAGGAAUGGCUGGGAAACUGCCGGUAAGAUAGGGAUAACUACUGGAAACGGUAUCUAAUACCGCAUACCAGCAGAUUUGCCCAGUUGGGAUUGGCUAGUAGGUGGGGUAACGGCUCACCUGGGCGACGAUCCCUAGCUGGUCUGAGAGGAUGACCAGCCACACUGGGACUGAGACACGGUCCAGACUCCUACGGGAGGCAGCAGUGGGGAAUAUUGGGCAAUGGGCGAAAGUCUGACCGAGCCAUGCCGCGUGUGUGAAGAAGGCUUUCGGGUUGUAAAGCACUGUUGGUGGGGAAGCGGUACCUACAGAGGAAGCAACGGCUAACUCCGUGCCAGCAGCCGCGGUAAUUC